AUACGGAGGGUGCAAGCGUUGUUCGGAAUUACUGGGCGUAAAGCGCGUGCAGGCGGUAAGGUAAGUCAGAUGUGAAAGCCCCGGGCUCGACCCGGGAAGUGCAUUUGAUACUGCCUUUCUUGAGUAUGGGAGAGGAGAGUGGAAUUCCCAGUGUAGAGGUGAAAUUCGUAGAUAUUGGGAGGAACACCCGUGGCGAAGGCGACUCUCUGGACCAAUACUGACGCUGAGACGCGAAAGCGUGGGGAGCGAACAGGAUUAGAUACCCUUGUAGUCC
rnacentral:rRNA from 1 species